UAUCAUUGGAAGGAUUGUAUGAUUGAAUAUUGAAUUGAGAAAAAUGUUAUUCAUAAAUGUUGUAUCAGGUAUCUUUGCAGCUACAAUGGCAGCAUUUAGAACAAGGCUGGGAUCAGCAAAGCCAAUAAGUCGGGCUGAGAACACUCGCCAGUAUGUGAACCAGCAUAAAAGAGAAAGAAGAGAUUAGUUCUUCAAAGAUAUAGAGCUGGUAUAUCUGAUGAGGAUGAUGAAGAAGUGUUUAUUGUAGAGGAUAAUAUUCUUCCAACUGAAACACAAGACUUGACCGAACUCGUCAAGAAACUGAUGGAGGAAAAUACAUGCCUUAAGAAGAAUUGUAUGACUAUGGAAAAAGAUAAAUUGAUUCUGAAAAGGGCUGUAUUGCAGGAGGAACUCGCCGAUCAUCAUACGUCUGGAAGCCAUGAGAGAACUCUUGUAAAAGACAUAGCAACCGCUAUGCAAUAAUUGAAAGACGAAGAGGCCAGUAAGAGGUGGAAAUUGAAGAGGAUUCUCCACAACAACCACCAUCGCCGCAACCUCAAGUGCAGAAAACUCAAUUGAGCGAACCUAUAUUGCUGCAACCUCUACUGCAGCAGGUUCCGAAUCCCGUAGGGUAAGUCAAAGCGUCUUUUUAUCUAUAAAUGCUAUUAUCAUAUGUUAAACUUAUAUUUAUGGGUCUUAUAUAUUAAGCAACAGUGUAAAAUCUUCAUUUUAAUUAUGACACUUCUCACAUUUUCCCUACUCUACCAUAAAUUUGUCAACCUUUUUUUAGAAUGGGUAAAUUUUUUAUGCAAGUCAAUAUCUUGAGUCCCAUAACAUAGUACAGUCAAACCCCGCUAUUGUGAACCUUCAGUGGACCGAAAUUUCGGUUCACUAUAACCGGAACUUCACUGUAACCAUUCCGCAACCGAUUUUUACUAAUGGUUCCAAACGCCUCCCUUUUAUUACACAUUAUUAUAAUGUAUUAACCCUUAGUGGUCAAGUUUACUCCCCUUCAAGUUCAACUGUGGACACAAAUUUUUUAAAGUAAAGAUUUAAUUUGUAAAACUAAAUUAUAAUUAUUAUGCGAAUUGAAAUAUUAAUUA